rfam:Camelus ferus unplaced genomic scaffold scaffold129, whole genome shotgun sequence.
GAGGAUAUAGCUCAAUUGGUAGAGUGCAUGCUUAGCAUGCAUGAAGUACUGGAUUGAAUCCCCAGUACUGCCA